AUGGUGCAGCAGGUGAACAUCAGUAACCAGAGCUGUGUGGAGCUGCUCUGUUCUCUGGAGGGUUUGAGUCCAGAGCAGGUCAGCUUCACCUGGUCCAGAGGAUCUGAGCAGCUUCUUCACCAGAACAACUCCAGCAAGAUGAGCAGCACACUGACACUCUGCAAGCCUCAAUGGAGAGACGAGGACACGUUCACCUGCCAGGCCAACUACUCAAGCAACCACACACUCUACAGCAAGAGCAUCACAAUCAAAGGCAGCAACAAUGGGGGCACAGCGAUACCCUGGCUGCUGAUUGGCUCAGUUAUUGGUGCAUCUGUGGGGGUGCUCUUCAUCAUCCUCCUCUCUGUGGUCAUCUAUAAAUGUAAGAAGAAAGAAGAUACCUCUUAUCCAAUCAUCUUCAACAAUAAAGUUUAUGAAAACCUGACUUCCAUCACACCCAGACCUACUGCUGAGCCCGGCGCUGGAGUAAAUACCAGGACUAAUCCCAGGCCUAACCCACAGGGUGCAAGUCAGACUCAGAGAGAAGAGUGCAUCUAUGAGAACUAACAAGAACUUUUAUCUGUUUUUAUUCUAAAACCAGUGCUCUGUUGUUUGUGUAUGUUUUGUUUAUGACUAGUCACUUUAUAUUCUUUCAACACACCAUGACACUAUCAGAGUUCCUCAGCUGUGCUGUGGCCCUGCGUGCUGUGCCAAGUUGUAGUUUCUUAAACUAUGCCCCAGUUGCCAUCUCUGUGUAGUGGUUUGGUUUUGUUCUAAAUAAAUAACAAAUGACCUGAAAUUUUGUGCUUUGCACUUCUGUGGUCACACGUUUCUAUAGGCAGCAGCACAGGGCAGCUGAGUGGUGACGGUAAAAUCAGGCCACAGUGUUACCUGACGCAUUGAAGAUGCAAUGCUGUCAGCCUCCAGUCUAUGUAGGUGUAAGUAGUAGAUGACCACACUUGAGUGAGACACAAACACAGUGGUGUGAGAGAAAGCUGAGUGCAGGGUUGCAGCCUCUGCUUAACAUUUUGCUAUGAUGACCUGAACUGUUAGCUACUCCACUAUAUGGGUUGAACUAUUGAACAAAAGCAGUUAUAUGUAUUAUUGCUGUAGUGAAAAAAAACUUCUGUUUAAAUUUAAUAAGGAACAGACCAAUAGAAAUGGUGCAUAAUUAUAAA
ensembl:lncRNA